UACUACUGUACUAAACAGUAUGUGAAGAGAGCACGCGAGCAUUGAAUGUGUACUAAUCUACCAUACUGUUUAGUACAGUAGUGUGUGUUUGAACCGAGCUGUACAGAGGAACCUGUCGUGGAGCACCAUGAUGCCGGGACUCCGGGUUUAUUCGCUUGGUUUCUUCAUAUUAAUAUUCGUCGGUGAAGCGAUAGCAAACGAAAGGCCCUAUGCGGUGCUCCAAAAUCAAAAUUUAGUGUUGCUCAUUAGCGUGCUGUCGGUUCUCCUGGUGGCUGUGCUGGUCAUGGCAGUGUGUGUGUACAAGCCGCUGAGAACACGGUGACUGAGGAGUUUUGCAAUAUUUGGUUUGUCUGUGUUUUAUUUCCUGUUAAGGUCUUCUUUUUUUGGUUUAAGAUGAAAUUUAAGUUAAUGUUAAGUUUAUGUUAAGUUUUAGUUUGUUAUGAAAGCCCUGCUGGUGAGCAGAUGAUGGAGGAAGAGGACCUGGGACGUGAGGAGCGGAGCAUCGGGUGGAACAAUGGACGACUUCAGCUGGCCUUCAGUGUUUCAUUCAGGAGCCACUCUGUGGGAAAAUGUCUUUACACUAUAAUCAUGGGUAAUUCAGCAUGAUGAGGACUUUGAGGCCAUACGUCGCUUUUUUUGGUGAAAUUAAAUCAGGGAAACCAUUUAUGAAUUCUCUCGUGAAUCCAGAUUUGAAUCAUUUCUAUGUUUUAGUAAUUUCCCUGCUCUAACGCACCUGACUAAACUAUAUUCAUCUUUUUCCUGCUCCAGAUGUGGAAUAUGUUUAAAAAUGUACAUUUUCUUUAACAUUUUGUUCAAAACUCAGCAGAAAUUGUUUCCGUGGUUAAAUGUAGCUAGCCGACGUAACGCAAAAUGUUUGUAGUGUUAGUUAGCUAAGAAGAAUCUUCAGUCUUCUCACUGUUUCACACAAGAGCUAAAAAUGAGCUCUUUUAGUGCAGGUUUAUAAUUUACAUGCUUGUAUGUCUAGUACAUUGUUUCUACAUAUAUGUAAAUUGUUGUAUUGAUAUAUAGGCAUUCCACAACAUUAAAUGUAACUACGAAUAGAUAAAUAGACAGGUAAACGUACAGCGCCGUUAAUGCGGGGGUUCAUGGUAAUAUUAUAAGCCAUGAUAGAAGGUUAGAGUGGUAUACUGAUGUGAAAAUCUAAUCUCACGAUGAGAGUUUAGACGGUGAGUUAGCGCAGGGAAAGUCUGACGUUAUAGCAUAAUAGAUGGACUGCGGUAAUCUCAUUGAGUUCAACCUGAUGUCGUUAUGAUGUUUAGUGUAUAUGGAGUUGAACACGAGCCUGUGUUUGAAUCAGGGGAAAGGCGGAGAAGCGCCAUGGCGACUGCGUCUGUUUCGAUUUGUUUGAACUGCUGUUGAAUUGUUAUUAUUUACACCUGCACUUUUAUAUUUCUGUCCUCAGUGUUAUUUUACGUAUUUAUUAUCAGAUGUUUGAGUGAGUUUUUUUUAGUUGUGAAAUAAAGCUCUUGUAAAACUGGAGAUUUACAGCCCACUGUACGUUUACAUGUUAUUGGGACGGGAUAAUAUUUCCGUGGGUCAAUAACCCGACGAUGAAACCAUCAGUGUCGAGCGACGAAUUAGAUCAUGAGGUUUCAUUGUAAACAUGAUGCGAGGGAAACUAUCACACGCUU